GCGCAAGCCUGAUCCAGCCAUACCGCGUGGGUGAAGAAGGCCUUCGGGUUGUAAAGCCCUUUUGUUGGGAAAGAAAAGCAGCCGGUUAAUACCCGGUUGUUCUGACGGUACCAUAGGAGGAAGCCCCGGCUAACUACGUGCCAGCAGCCGCGGUAAUACGUAGGGGGCAAGCGUUAUCCGGAAUUACUGGGCGUAAAGGGUGCGUAGGCGGUUUAUCAAGUCAGGGGUGAAAGGCUACGGCUCAACCGUAGUGAGCCUCUGAAACUGGUGAACUUGAGUGUAGGAGAGGAAAGUGGAAUUCCCAGUGUAGCGGUGAAAUGCGUAGAUAUUGGGAGGAACACCAGUGGCGAAGGCGACUUUCUGGACUACAACUGACGCUGAGGCACGAAAGCGCGGGGAGCAAACA
rnacentral:rRNA from 1 species